AUUGAACCUUGGCGGCAUGCCUUACACAUGCAAGUCGAACGGCAGCACGGAGCUUGCUCUGGUGGCGAGUGGCGAACGGGUGAGUAAUAUAUCGGAACGUACCCUAGAGUGGGGGAUAACGUAGCGAAAGUUACGCUAAUACCGCAUACGAUCUAAGGAUGAAAGUGGGGGAUCGCAAGACCUCAUGCUCGUGGAGCGGCCGAUAUCUGAUUAGCUAGUUGGUAGGGUAAAAGCCUACCAAGGCAUCGAUCAGUAGCUGGUCUGAGAGGACGACCAGCCAUACUGGAACUGAGACACGGUCCAGACUCCUACGGGAGGCAGCAGUGGGGAAUUUUGGACAAUGGGCGAAAGCCUGAUCCAGCAAUGCCGCGUGAGUGAAGAAGGCCUUCGGGUUGUAAAGCUCUUUUGUCAGGGAAGAAACGGUGAAAGCUAAUAUCUCUUGCUAAUGACGGUACCUGAAGAAUAAGCACCGGCUAACUACGUGCCAGCAGCCGCGGUAAUACGUAGGGUGCAAGCGUUAAUCGGAAUUACUGGGCGUAAAGCGUGCGCAGGCGGUUUUGUAAGUCUGAUGUGAAAUCCCCGGGCUCAACCUGGGAAUUGCAUUGGAGACUGCAAGGCUAGAAUCUGGCAGAGGGGGGUAGAAUUCCACGUGUAGCAGUGAAAUGCGUAGAUAUGUGGAGGAACACCGAUGGCGAAGGCAGCCCCCUGGGUCAAGAUUGACGCUCAUGCACGAAAGCGUGGGGAGCAAACAGGAUUAGAUACCCUGGUAGUCCACGCCCUAAACGAUGUCUACUAGUUGUCGGGUCUUAAUUGACUUGGUAACGCAGCUAACGCGUGAAGUAGACCGCCUGGGGAGUACGGUCGCAAGAUUAAAACUCAAAGGAAUUGACGGGGACCCGCACAAGCGGUGGAUGAUGUGGAUUAAUUCGAUGCAACGCGAAAAACCUUACCUACCCUUGACAUGGCUGGAAUCCUCGAGAGAUUGAGGAGUGCUCGAAAGAGAACCAGUACACAGGUGCUGCAUGGCUGUCGUCAGCUCGUGUCGUGAGAUGUUGGGUUAAGUCCCGCAACGAGCGCAACCCUUGUCAUUAGUUGCUACGAAAGGGCACUCUAAUGAGACUGCCGGUGACAAACUGGAGGAAGGUGGGGAUGACGUCAAGUCCUCAUGGCCCUUAUGGGUAGGGCUUCACACGUCAUACAAUGGUACAUACAGAGCGCCGCCAACCCGCGAGGGGGAGCUAAUCGCAGAAAGUGUAUCGUAGUCCGGAUUGUAGUCUGCAACUCGACUGCAUGAAGUUGGAAUCGCUAGUAAUCGCGGAUCAGCAUGUCGCGGUGAAUACGUUCCCGGGUCU
rnacentral:rRNA from 1 species